CUUUUAAUAACCACUUUUUGUGUAGUUGAGGCUUAAUAUUUUAUUUUAAACCUGUUACAAGAAUGAUUUUUGUUAACACAAGCAUAUUUGAACUUUAACCUUUAUUAGUUUGUAGUAUAGUAGUGUACACACCAAAGUAUUAGUUCAUAUAUGUUGUGUAAAUGGUUUGCCCUGGACCAGUGGUUCCCAACCUUUUCAGCAGAUGGCCCCUUGAAAUUAAGCAAUGUCCACUAUGGCCUUAUUUGUGAGCCGUUUAAAUAGUUUUUUUUCAAUCUGAAGAUCGUUUAAUUUGAGUGAGGAAGAGAUGAAAGCAUUCAGGAUUUCACAAGAAAAAGGCAAAAAUGUUGUUACAAAACUACAGGGUGACUCAGACUUAAUCAACAACUAUAGUGAGUGCUAAAUUGCAAGUGUUAGCAUGCUAACACGUAAAACUAAGAUGGUGAACCAUUAUGCCUGCUUAUUAUCAGCAGGCUAGCAUCGUAGCAUUUAGCUCACAGCAGUACUGUCCUGAAGUCACAGAGCUGCUAGCAUGGCUGUAGACUCAUAGUCUUGUUUUUCUUCUUUUUUUUUAUCCCUUUUAAUCAUCUUGUGACCCCAUCCUGUGAGAUUUGUCCAGUUCCCCAGGUAGGGAACCACUGCCCUGGAGAAGUGAUACUACACUAACACUUCCUGUGGCAGAAGUUGGCAUUUCUAACUGAUCAGCUCUUCCUAGUGACCUGCAGCCUGCUAAAUUGGCAAUCCUGACCUCUUCACCUCCUUGCGGUUGUGCAGCAGAAGCUCCUGGUUGUGCUGGAGGAGGUGGUGGUACUGAGCCGUGAAGGACCUGAACUGCUGGAUGCACACCAGCAGCAGUAGCAGCUGCAGGUACUCAGGGAUCCUCUGAACCGGCUGAAGAAGCAGAGUGUGGAGGGAGGGUUUGGAUUCGUCACCUGUUAUGUCACUCUGAUAGAAGCACCAUGCGGCCAAUCAGAGCCAAAGGGCAGCACAGGUCGACCAAUCAGGAUGGAAGGACAAAACCAGUUAGUACAGCAGGAAGGCAGAAGGUUUCACGGAGCUGGAGGCAAGCGUGGUGACAACUGACAGACAGUCUGGAAGCUCCUUCAGUGGCCAAAAUAUCACAAAAAGAAGUGACAAAGUGCAAAGAAGUGAAAUGAUCUGCUGCAAACACAGGGAUACACUCAUUGCCUGCAGGUGGCACAGGUGUCAAGAUUUUAGAGGUAUUUACUUGCCACUAGAUGCCGCAUAUCAACACGUCUGCAGCUACAGAAAUAUCAGGAGGAAACAAUCGUCUGGUGAAAUAGUGGCAAUAGUACACAGUUUGGAAACUUAACACCUAAAAAAUGACUGCCGAAUAUUGUUUGAUGAAUCCAUUGUCAGGUUGAAAAAGAGAAUAACUUUCCCAGUAUAGUUUGGUGUUGAUGCAUCUGUUUUUGUGCUGAUUUAUUAGAGCCUGCAGUUGUCCUUACUGCAUGCCAAUGAGCCUGUAUACAGACACUGGUGCAGCAACCCAAGCUAGCACAAGUAUCUUUAUUGACUACUGUCUCGUACAGUAACAGCCUGUACAUUCUUCAAACUGUUCAAACAAAUGGUGAAAGACAUACAGUUAAAUUGCCCAAUAGUUCAUACAAAUUAAUCUAUGUAUUCAAAUU